UGGGGAAUAUUGCACAAUGGGCGCAAGCCUGAUGCAGCCAUGCCGCGUGUAUGAAGAAGGCCUUCGGGUUGUAAAGUACUUUCAGUCGGGAGGAAGGUGGUAAGGUUAAUAACCUUAUCAAUUGACGUUACCGACAGAAGAAGCACCGGCUAACUCCGUGCCAGCAGCCGCGGUAAUACGGAGGGUGCAAGCGUUAAUCGGAAUUACUGGGCGUAAAGCGCACGCAGGCGGUCUGUCAAGUCGGAUGUGAAAUCCCCGGGCUCAACCUGGGAACUGCAUGCGAAACUGGCAGGCUAGAGUCUUGUAGAGGGGGGUAGAAUUCCAGGUGUAGCGGUGAAAUGCGUAGAGAUCUGGAGGAAUACCGGUGGCGAAGGCGGCCCCCUGGACAAAGACUGACGCUCAGGUGCGAAAGCGUGGGGAGCAAACAGG
rnacentral:rRNA from 1 species